GGGAACUUGUUAAAAUGCAGAUUCUGAUUCUGAAGGUUUGGGGUGUAGCCUAAGAUUCUGCAUUUCUAACAAGCUC
rnacentral:miRNA from 1 species